AGAGUUUGAUCCUGGCUCAGAGUUAACGCUGGCAGCGUGCAUAACACAUGCAAGUCGAGCGGGACUGUUUGAGAUUAUAUCAAUGGCAGUUUAGCGGCAGACGAGUGAGUAACACGUAAGAAAUCUACCCCGAAGAAGGGAACAACUUGCCGAAAGGUGAGCUAAUACCCUAUAUAAUCCCGGAACGGCAUCGUAUUGGG
rnacentral:rRNA from 1 species